UACAGAGGUCCCAAGCGUUGUUCGGAUUCACUGGGCGUAAAGGGUGCGUAGGUGGUCGGGUAAGUCCGAUGUGAAAUCUCCAGGCUCAACCUGGAAAUGGCAUUGGAUACUAUUCGGCUUGAGGAGUGGAGGGGGGACUGGAAUUCUUGGUGUAGCAGUGAAAUGCGUAGAUAUCAAGAGGAACACCAGUGGCGAAGGCGAGUCCCUGGACAAUACCUGACACUGAGGCACGAAAGCCAAGGGAGCAAACAGG
rnacentral:rRNA from 1 species